GGGCCGGCCAAAAAGACUAAACAAAAAGUAUUGGUAUCGUGAAGCCAAGUCAUGUCUUUUGUAGUUUUGCUAUAGUUGCUAUAAUGAUGAUGCCGAGAAUGGUUGAUCAUCAUGACCAUGGCACGAGCGAUGAUCUUGCACUCACACUAUAUAUCAAUAUUUGGCAAUUCAGUUACAGUUUGCUUUCUUUAAUUCUUAAGCAAAUUUCACUUAUUUAGAACUUUAUAUUUUGGUAACAUUGGAUUAUUCAAAACCAAAAUAGUGAUAUAUCCUUAUGAGUGAUUUUACUAAACUUUGUGUUUCCAUGGGACACUGAAAGCUUAGACGUUCAUCUCGUUUGAAGUGGGAGCAAGAGCUUCUUCGGUCAUGGUUCCUUUAUCUGACAUGUGAUUGUCUUGUCCUGAAGUGAAAGGUUGACAAUGGGUACAGCUUGGUGGUUGUUGGUAUGUAGGUCGGUGGUAAUAUGGUUCGCUUGGGGUGCAACCACCGGUUUGUCUUCUGUCUUUUGUUGUUGAAGUCUGAGAAAGUUUAGUGCUGUUUGGUAUUGGCGUAUUCUUAGGUUAUCUGAUACGGACAUUUGCUACUUUUUUGUCACUUCACACUUGUUUUUUUCUAAUGCUAAUAAGUUGUAGUCGGAAAUAUUGAUUUGAUGAUUAACGUAGGGAUUUUCUUGACUGCAGCUUUCUUAGGUUGUCUUUUUGGAUUGAUUGGUGUCCACUGAUGAUAAAGAAAAUAUGUUUCUGAUCCUUAUAUGCUGAAUUUCACCAGUAUUAAUAUUGUUCGGAAUUGGAAUUUGAGGGAGCGAAAACAGCAGAUUGGUUCCAGGAAUUGUAUGAUGCUAGGUUCAGAUGCAAGUGAAGUCCCUUGGAACCACAAUAAGCAAUUAUUUUUAUUUCAUUGUGAAGUCGCCUAAUGUUGUCAAGUUUGAACUCCAGUUGUAUCAAACUCGAGACGACAAGUAACUGUUGGAUCUGCAGAGGGUACAAGGUCCUCAGUUCUUGUUCUUGAAUCAAUGUGCUGCCUUCCUUGCUCAACUCCGAGUCCUCUGAAUAAUUCAGUCCAUCAGUAGACCUCUUCAAGAAUAAUCUUCCCACUUUUUUUUUCUCCUUCGUCUAAGAAAUAUUCAGAAAAAAAUGAAAAGUGAACUUCUUUUACUAUUUCUCUUUCUUUAGUAUUCUAUUUCGGUGCUCUACUAUAAAACUCUUCUUUAAACUUAAAUGUAAGAACGAUGAA